GCCCGAGUGGCCGAGCGGUUAAAGGCGCCUACAGUCUGGAACGCUACGGUCGCAGGUUCGAAUCCUGCCUCGGGCA